GACGAACGCUGGCGGCGUGCUUAACACAUGCAAGUCGAACGGAAAGGCCCUGCUUUUGUGGGGUGCUCGAGUGGCGAACGGGUGAGUAACACGUGAGUAACCUGCCCUUGACUUUGGGAUAACUUCAGGAAACUGGGGCUAAUACCGGAUAGGAGCUCCUGCUGCAUGGUGGGGGUUGGAAAGUUUCGGCGGUUGGGGAUAGACUCGCGGCUUAUCAGCUUGUUGGUGGGGUAGUGGCUUACCAAGGCUUUGACGGGUAGCCGGCCUGAGAGGGUGACCGGCCACAUAGGGACUGAGAUACGGCCCAGACUCCUACGGGAGGCAGCAGUGGGGAAUAUUGCACAAGGGGCGGAAGCCUGAUGCAGCAACGCCGCGUGCGGGAUGACGGCCUUCGGGUGGUAAACCGCUUUCGCCUGUGACGAAGCGUGAGUGACGGUAAUGGGUAAAGAAGCACCGGCUAACUACGU
rnacentral:rRNA from 1 species